GUCCUGGAAAGGCCGGCGAUACAGGGUGAUAGCCCCGUACACGAAAACGACCUUGAUGUGAAAUCGAGUAGGGCGGGACACGUGACAUCCUGUCUGAAUAUGGGGGGACCAUCCUCCAAGGCUAAAUACUCCUGACUGACCGAUAGUGAACCAGUACCGUGAGGGAAAGGCGAAAAGAACCCCUGUGAGGGGAGUGAAAUAGAACCUGAAACCGUGUACGUACAAGCAGUGGGAGCCCUUCGGGGUGACUGCGUACCUUUUGUAUAAUGGGUCAGCGACUUACAUUUUGUAGCGAGGUUAACCGUAUAGGGGAGCCGUAGGGAAACCGAGUCUUAACUGGGCGUCUAGUUGCAAGGUGUAGACCCGAAACCGGGUGAUCUAGCCAUGGGCAGGUUGAAGGUUGAGUAACAUCAACUGGAGGACCGAACCCACUAACGUUGCAAAGUUAGGGGAUGACCUGUGGCUGGGGGUGAAAGGCCAAUCAAACUCGGAGAUAGCUGGUUCUCCCCGAAAGCUAUUUAGGUAGCGCCUCGGACGAAUACUACUGGGGGUAGAGCACUGUUUGGGCUAGGGGGUCAUCCCGACUUACCAACCCCAUGCAAACUCCGAAUACCAGUAAGUAAUAUCCGGGAGACACACGGCGGGUGCUAACGUCCGUCGUGAAGAGGGAAACAACCCAGACCGCCGGCUAAGGUCCCAAAGUUCUGGUUAAGUGGGAAACGAUGUGGGAAGGCUCAGACAGCUAGGAUGUUGGCUUAGAAGCAGCCAUCAUUUAAAGAAAGCGUAAUAGCUCACUAGUCGAGUCGGCCUGCGCGGAAGAUGUAACGGGGCUCAAACCAGGCACCGAAGCCGCGGAUUCACACUUAUGUGUGAGUGGUAGGGGAGCGUUCUGUAAGUCUGCGAAGGUGUAUCGAGAGGUAUGCUGGAGAUAUCAGAAGUGCGAAUGCUGACGUAAGUAACGAUAAAGGGGGUGAAAAGCCUCCUCGCCGGAAGACCAAGGGUUCCUGUCCAACGUUAAUCGGGGCAGGGUGAGUCGACCCCUAAGGUGAGGCC
rnacentral:rRNA from 1 species